AAANUUGAGCUAAUACCGGAUACGCCCUUACGGGGAAAGAUUAUUGCCGAAGGAACGGCCCGCGUCCGAUUAGCUWGUUGGUGAGGUAAUGGYUCACCAAGGCGACGAUCSGUAGYUGKUCUGAGAGGAUGACCAGCCUCACUGGGACUGAGACACGGCCCAGAYUCCUACGGGAGGCAGCAGUGGGGAAUAUUGGACAAUGGGCGCAAGCCUGAUCCAGCCAUGCCGCGUGGGUGAUGAAGGCCCUAGGGUUGUAAAGCCCUUUCGGCGGGGAAGAUAAUGACGRUACCCGCAGAAGMAGCCCCGGCUAACUUC
rnacentral:rRNA from 1 species